GUAUAACUUUUCGUCUUUCAUUUUCUUUAAAUUUUAUGUAUAUGUAUUGUAAAGAAUGCUAUGUAAAUAUUGGAACCCUAUGGUUAGAAUCGGAUAUAUCGCGUAGAAGUUUUGGAUUUUCGUCAAAUGAUUUUCAAACUUGACUUAAUAAAAGAUAAACGAUGCAUGUAAUUGGUAAAUGAAUUUUGGGACAAGUGAUUUUUAAAAAAGCUGAAAAGGAUAUAUAUAUAUAUAUAUAUAUAUAUAUAUAUAUAUAUAUAUAUAUAUAUAUAUAUAUAUAUAUAUAUAUAUAUGAAUUUGGCAAUCCCUUUUGAAAACAAAAAAUGGAAAUGAUACUUGAUAUACUAGUUAUAUAUAUAGAUGGCUAUUAAAGGAAAACUGUUUAUGGGCUUAAGACAAAAAUUUGUAAACUGAUUUGGACACGAGAAAUGGAAACUGAUUUUCAUUUACACUAGUUAUAAAUGGAUUUUCAGAACUUUUUGGGACACUUAAGGCUAUUAAAAAUUUUUGGGGCCAAAGUCCAGCCUUAAGCUAAAAAAUAGGAGGGGUACAAUUUUGCCUCAGUUUGAGAUAAAGUUUGAAAGUAGUUUAUGGUUGACCUUUAAAAUUGCACAAAGAUAUAAAGAAGUUGCUAAAAAAACAUACACUUGUAUAAACCUAUGGCAUAUGUAUAAAGUUAAUAUGCUUAAUUUUUCUCAAAAACCUAUAAAAGAUUAAAUUGGACAUAGUACUUGGGACUAAAUUAAGUUGAACUCUACCCAAGGGAAACCUUGAGUGUGUUUUUAGUUCGGAAAGUAAUACGACUGUUUUAAACUUUAUAAUAUUUUCAAGAGAUAAACUUUUUUCCUUCAAAGGAAUGGAUUUUUGCCAAACAAAAGGAAUUAUGAUAUGCCAUGAUAGUUUUAUACAAGAAAGUAAACUCUUUAAGAAAGCAAUUACAAUAAUCACUCAUUGAAACUCGAAGGUCAACCAUAUUCUACGGAUCCUUAAUAUUAGGGUGCUUAAAACAUUUCCUAGGGGAUCACCAGAACCCUUACCUCAAACUCUGGUUUUAAAUGGAUUUUUCUCUUGUUUGAUAAACCCUUUUAAUUAGGGUUUCCUAAUUUUUCUUAAUAGAUUAGGUGGCGACUCUAUAAAACGAAAAUUCAAAUAGAGUCCACAACCUCUUAGUAGCUUUUAUACAUCCGCGUAAAAGUGGACUGUAACAGGUGUCCUUAUAUUCAUAUGCUAACGUAGAUUACUUAUUUGAUAGACUUCGAUCGUUCAGAGGCUCUCCGCAAGAGGAAGGCAUUGGCUUGAUUGCUCGUGACUCCUGCUCAAAUUUUGAGAGUUUGAUCCAGGAUCCAGUUCGCGACCUCGAGACUAAUCCGAGGCUUUAAUCAAGAGAUUUUAGGUUGAGCCACUAGCUGGACAUGCAACCAUGGAUCUCUUCUUCUGAUUAUCUGUCUAUUUCUAAUUCCAUAGAAAGUUUACUAUUUUCGUAUUUGAGACUUGUAUCCAGUAUUUCAGAUGUUGUAUUAAGUAUUAGAACCUCUUGUACGAGUU